GAUGAACGCUGGCGGCGUGCCUAAUACAUGCAAGUCGAGCGAACAGACGAGGCGCUUGCUCCUCUGACGUUAGCGGCGGACGGGUGAGUAACACGUGGAUAACCUACCUAUAAGACUGGGAUAACUUCGGGAAACCGGAGCUAAUACCGGAUAAUAUAUUGAACCGCAUGGUUCAAUAGUGAAAGACGGUUUUGCUGUCACUUAUAGAUGGAUCCGCGCCGCAUUAGCUAGUUGGCAAGGUAACGGCUUACCAAGGCGACGAUGCGUAGCCGACCUGAGAGGGUGAUCGGCCACACUGGAACUGAGACACGGUCCAGACUCCUACGGGAGGCAGCAGUAGGGAAUCUUCCGCAAUGGGCGAAAGCCUGACGGAGCAACGCCGCGUGAGUGAAGAAGGUCUUCGGAUCGUAAAACUCUGUUAUUAGGGAAGAAAAAAUGUGUAAGGAAAUAUGCACGUCUUGACGGUACCGAAUCAGAAAGCCACGGCUAACUACGUG
rnacentral:rRNA from 1 species